CAGCAGCCGCGGGAAUACAGAGGGUGCGAGCGUUAAUCGGAUUUACUGGGCGUAAAGCGUGCGUAGGCGGCUUCUUAAGUCGGAUGUGAAAUCCCUGAGCUUAACUUAGGAAUUGCAUUCGAUACUGGGAAGCUAGAGUAUGGGAGAGGAUGGUAGAAUUCCAGGUGUAGCGGUGAAAUGCGUAGAGACCUGGAGGAAUACCGAUGGCGAAGGCAGCCAUCUGGCCUAAUACUGACGCUGAGGUACGAAAGCAUGGGGAGCAAACAGGAUUAGAUACCCCAGUAGUCCCUGUCUCUUAUAC
rnacentral:rRNA from 1 species